GCCUCGCUCCCCCCAGAGCUGCGGCCUCAGCCCGGCCCCGCCGCCCGCCUCCCUCCCUGCCCCACUGUCAGAGCCGCCCGCCCGCGUGGCAGCGGGCACAGCGGGGCGUGCGGCGUUUCCCUGCGGUGGCUGCUUUGGUACUGGGGGACGACAGCUGUGUCCCACGCGGUGUCCGUCCGUCCGUCCUUCCGUCCGUCCAUCCAUCCAUCCAUCCAUCCACCCAUCCAUCUAUCCCUGAGUGGGCGGCGGCUCGUGUGUGUGUGUGACUGACAGUGAGGCGCGCACAGCGCGGGGGCAGCCGCUCGCACGCAGCCCGCCGGGGCCACGCCGGCGCGCCCCGGCUGCGGCAGCCACUUCUCCGUCCCCUGGAGCCCUCCCCGGUGGGGACAACCUCAGCGGCCUCGCUGCUCGUCCUCCUCCUCCCUCCUGGCGGGACCUUCGCCUUCUGAAACGGGAACUGAAAUUUGGCUCGUCAGCAUCGAGUUGCUGAUGAAAAUCUUGAUCACCUCAGCAUUUGCCAUCUUUUUGUCUCCUUAAGAAAAAAAAAGUUAGGAGAAGUGUUUUCUCACAGUGACACAGAACACAGCACAUUGUAACUACAGGAACAGACUCGACUGUGAAAGAUCUCUAUCAGGCAUCACAGAGAAUCUGAGGCAGCUGGCAGUUAUCAGCUGAAGCAGUAAACCAGUAGAACUGUACAAGCUAAAUAGAUAAUUGAAAAGCAAUCUGGAAACCUGGGAGAGAUAAUAAGCCUCUCUUCUAGAAGGGAGGUAACAACUCAGGUCAAAAAUGCGUGUCUACAUUUUGGAGGACAGAUAUCAAACAAGUUCUUCUCCUAACACACAAAUCAACAGCAGGAGACUUUUGAAGAAGAAAACACACAAUAUUUACAUGUGUGGUUCUAAAGUCUACUAUAAGGAAGCAGAAGUCAACUUUCCAUUUGGGGAAGGUCAUAGAUUGCUAAUCCAAACCCUGUUUUCCCAACAAAUGGCAAUGGCAAUUUGUUUGUAGGUAUUCACAUAUGUCCUCUUACUUUUUGGUGACUUUCUUGCUCUUUAACAAUAAGGCCUGAUGUAACUUCUGAUGGUGCCCCAGGAUCACACUGUUUUGUUUUGUUUAUUCCACAAAAUCAGUAAUAAUAGUUUCUUUUUUCCCAUUUACAUUUUUUUUGUCAGUUAUUGUCUCAUUGUCAGUAUUGUCGUUGAAUGCACAAGUCUGAUACUGAAUUGGUAUUCAAAUACCUACUUCUUAUCAAAUAGCUUGAAUUCUGCAACAAUUUAUUGUGGUCUAUGGUGAGACUUAGGUGCAGAUUGAGACAUCUUAGGCAUCUAUAUGGAAGAGCUCAGGUGUAAACUAUAUGUGUAAACUCUUGCUCUAGACAAGAGUCAAUGCAAUCUGUGGACCCCUCUUGGUGCCUUGUCUGCUGAUGAACUGCUUUGCAGAUGUUUCAGAGGGAACUGAGUUGUUCUCUGAGCUCCAUCUGAACACAGACAAAAAUUAUAGCAUCAUGUGAAAUGUACUGUCAGUUUCUGUCUUGCAGCUCUCUACAGGAUGAGAUUCCCAGAAACUAGAAAAAUACAUUUAAAAAUAUAUUUUAAUCACUAAGUUCCUGACAAAAAUAGUGAAAAGAACUUUCUCCCAAAGACAAAUCAGGAUUCCCUAAAAGUGUUGGAUCUUUGCUUGUCAUUUACUGUGACUCAUGCACAUCAUACAACAGUACCCAAAGCUAUUGGCCAGGUAAAGCAAUCUGGAUAUCUUUGUAUGCUUUUGUUCUGAAAAUGUGUAUCGAUGUACAUCUUGGAUCUCUCAGGCUUCUUCAAUACAUUUAAGAUAUUAACAGGAUUAUUUGAGUUGGUAACCUGAAAUAAUCUGACACUGCAUUUAUUGAUGCAGAAGAUUAUUCUGAAAUUUGUGUCCAAAUGUCUUACUUACUUUACAGUUCCAUAUGAAUAAAAUAUUUUGCUUUGAACAUAGUUUUUCAUUUCCUUUGUAGUAAUUCUGUCUACUGUGGAGUCAUUAAUCCCUUGUCCUAGAGAUUUUUGCUUCUCAGCACUGACACCAGAGGGUUUUUUAGAGCAUUGGGUUAAUCUGAAUACUAUGGAGCAGGUUGGAAGCAACCAUAAAAUAAGAUCAGAAAGCAAUAGCAGAGAACACAGUUCAGGUUAUGGUCAAACUGAGGUUACACAGUCUAGCUACUGCCCCAGCUACAGAGACAGAACCUAGACAGCUGCAGAGCAGUGGCAGCCAGCCAGCAAGCCUGAAUAGAUGAAGAUAAGGCCAAGAGGAGGAGGACUUAAAUCUCAGAUAUUAGCUGCUCUAAUAUAGAAUGAACCAGCUAUAUAAUAACCUUACAUACCCAGAAAAGAACUAGAACAGCUAGUUGGAAACAAAGUCCUUGAAGUUCCUUGUGCAACUUUUCAAAUAGAAAUGAUCAUAGCCAAAUUACUUAAAAAUAUUAGCUUUUAAGAUGUACUUAGUUGUAAAAAAUUACAUAUACUAGGUACAUCAUAAACAGUCUUUGCCCUCAAAUACAUCUUAUACUCAGUAAUUUUAUUUUUUUUUUUUAAUGUGAGGCCAUUAAGUUGAGGCUGUGACUUCACAGGCACAUUACAGUUUAUGCAAAGGUAAUCUUGGUUUUCCUUCUUUGGCUGGGAAUUAGAAUCUGUUAUCCCAGCUAUACUGGUUUUAGUAUCCUAAGUAACCCACUCUUUCUGUGGGCACUCUGCUGUGCCUUGUGUACUUUAAUUGUUCUUUCAACAAACAAAAAUUAUUUAUGAAAACCCCAUUUCUCUCUGAAAAGUACAUUUUUCAGAUGUAAUGUGUAAGCUGUCUGCUGUCUGAAAAAAUUAUUUUUCCCAUUCUAUUUAUAAAGGAUAUUAUUGCUUCACAGGAUAGUUGCAGACCCUGACACAAAGAUAUGGCAAUUGAAAACCAGGCAAUUAAAUAGCUCAAAAAGGAAGAAAAGAAAUGCAAUUCAAAAAGAUCUAUGCAGAGAACCCAUAGCUGUCUGCAACCCUCCCCAUUACUCUGUGUAGGUAGUACUCAGGAUUAGCAAAGAGAAACAAAUGAUGUCAGAACCAGUCCUCUAAACCUUUUCAAUUUUCCAGUAUGAAAAUAUCCUGUAGAACUGUGGUGUAGUAUUGGAUAUGAAACAAAUUGUUUGGGAUUCUUUUUAAUGUCAAUAGAUUUUUUUUCAUUAAAUUUUAAUUCAUCUGUGCUGUAU